rnacentral:tRNA from 1 species
UGGGGUGUAGCUCAAGUGGUAGAGCACACGCUUAGCAUGCAUGAGGUCCUGGGUUCAAUCCCUGGUACCUCCU